rnacentral:rRNA from 1 species
AUUGAACGCUGGCGGAAUGCUUUACACAUGCAAGUCGAGCGGCAGCGCGGGGGCAACCCUGGCGGCGAGCGGCGAACGGGUGAGUAACACAUCGGAACGUACCCAGUUGUGGGGGAUAGCCCGGCGAAAGCCGGAUUAAUACCGCAUACGACCUGAGGGUGAAAGGGGGGGAUCGCAAGACCUCUCGCAGUUGGAGCGGCCGAUGGCGGAUUAGCUAGUUGGUGAGGUAAAGGCUCACCAAGGCGACGAUCCGUAGCUGGUCUGAGAGGAUGACCAGCCACACUGGAACUGAGACACGGUCCAGACUCCUACGGGAGGCAGCAGUGGGGAAUAUUGCACAAUGGGCGCAAGCCUGAUGCAGCCAUGCCGCGUAUAUGAAGAAGGCCUUCGGGUUGUAAAGUACUUUCAGCGGGGAGGAAGGCGGUGGAGUUAAUAACUUCACCGAUUGACGUUACCCGCAGAAGAAGCACCGGCUAACUCCGUGCCAGCCGCCGCCGUAACAC